AGUAUAGACUCGAGAACUGGCAUAGGUAUUAGGUAAUAUUAUACCCGAGGAGGGCGCCAGCUCCGUCGUACUGCGCGCGGGCUGCAGAAGAAUAUCGAACGGACGGAAUUCGCGUUGAUUAGCAAAAAAAAAAGAAAUUGCUUAAUUGCCCGGUAAUUAUCGUGCGAGGUUUGCAUUCGCGCACAGUUAUACCCAUACCUACGAUCAGCUACUUGAUUCGUGAUCGGCCAUUUAACUCGACAGUGGAAGCCUGCGGAAGCGAGGGGAAAGCGAAAGAAUACGAGGAAUGAUAUGCGGCUGCGCGUGGAAACUGACGUCAACUGUAACCAAUCGGAGCCAAUUAAAAGAUGCCGGUGCGCUGCUAUCUCUCUUACGACGACUCGCGAUACUUAUCGUAUAGCACGUUCGAAGCAAUCGAAGCCUGGGAGCGGUGGAUCCCCUAAAUCCAAUGAUGAUUGCCGUGUAAUAUCCAGAGAGCAACACCUACACACGCGCAAUCGGUAUCAGUGACGGCAAACUAAGCUGCUUAUAACCGCGUGUUUGGCAUUCGCCGAAUACACUGAAGUGUUGGCUGCUCGAAACGUAAAGUGUGAAUCCCGCAUCUACAAAUAUUACGCUUGAAAGAGACCUGCACUGACAUGAUAUGAAUAAUUGAGCUUUAUCUGAACGAAAUUUCGCCGAUAACGAUUAUUCGUUGGGAUAAGCGUAUCAUAUGAAUUAAAUGUCGUAUGCAGAUGCCAAAAAUAGUUAUUCGCAAGUAAAGCAGCCGAUUUUCUGAAUUUAUCUAUAGCCUCAGUUAUAUCCACUAAUUUUCAAAGUACAGCUAUUAUAUUAUAUAGCGCAACGAUGCAUAUAACUGUUCCGCGAUGAUUCACCAAAUUCACGCGAAGUAUCGACUUUUUCUUUAAAAUGCGGGCACUCAUUAUUGCUGGCCUCUGCUGUGACUAGCAGUGUAAGAGGAUGUUUUUAUGAAUUCAUGAAGCGAUAACGAUUUUUCGAUUCUCCCUGCAAAAGAGGAUAUUACUUAUGUAACUGCGCACGAAAAGCAAGAAGUAUUCAAUGAGACAAUGAGACAUAAAGUAAUCAAUAACAGUUUACAGUUCAUAGAUGCCGCGCGAUUCGAACUUUCGACAAAUUUCAAAUCAAAAGUCGAUAAAACAAUUCACAGCUGCCGCGCGGAUGACGUUUACAUUGGACAGAUAGAGGAGAUCCUUGGCCUGAAAGUUAUCGUUUCAACCGGGCUCCGAUACAGUCAGAGCUGGAAAAUGGCAUACCUCCGUGAAUCGGAUAUCGACCUAUAUAAUACGAUUUAUAUCCAACAAUAAUAAUCCCCUCGAUCUCAGUCUUAUAUACAGUAUAUAUGCUGGUUCAAUUGUACGACUGCAUCGUUUAAUAGCUAGUCAUUCGCCCAUGUGAGCCAGAUCAAAGAUACAUGCAUAUGCAAUAAUGGUGAAUUAUAUAUAUAUAUAUAUAUAUAUAUCUUACACUUUUCGCGCGGAGCGAAAUAAUUCAAUAAUUCAAUUGAGAGAAGCAAACAAGCCGACGCGCAGUCGAUCGGAACUUUUGCCCUUUAGCGCUAUGCAACACACAUGCCGAGGACAAUGCGAUUGUUCGCUUGCCUGUCUGCCUUGCCGGCGCUCGAACCGCUUUAGCACUUAAAACGUGCGUUUGGAAAAGCCUGUGCGCAGAUUACGAUAAGUGCCCCGAGAGCUGAUACAGACUCAUUUCUUUCCUCGUUUUCGGCAUAAGUUAUCUCCUUCUCAUAUACCUUCAUUAUCCUUAUCGCCAGCGAUAUAUUCGAUAUUUCAAUCAGAAAUUGCGAUCUUCCUUUGCAUGCUCGAUGCAACAGCUGGACAAAAGAUGAUUUAGUUUUACUCGAGAGGAACUGCGAGGUCGUAAAGUAUUUCAACCAAUAUUUUUCAGCAAGUAAUUUAUUUGCCAUAUUCUUUACUACUAGCAGACAAUACCUUCGAGGCAAACGUAGAAGUUGAAAAAAAAAAAAAAUACUUGUAAUGCUUCAUUAGCACGUAUAUAUUUGCACUCUGUACUUACCGAAACGCACACGACAUCGCGAAAAUCGAGGGUUGCAAGCCUCACAGCCUUGAAAAGAUUUCACUUCUUAAAAACACAAUAUCUACUUUACGAAAUAUUUCCUUUAUUUUUGCAACAAUGAAGAGUUUACAAGCUUUGUAUUUUUAGAAAUUCACAAUUUCCGUUCAAUCUAAGUAUAGAUAUUUUAAACACAGUUCGCCGAUAAUAUAACAGCAACUUUUAUAAAGAUCCUCUUAGCCGAAACUGACGUUUUAUCUCGAGAAAAAUUGUGCAUGUGCAUGCUCCUAAGGUCUCAGUAUAUCUUUUGUAGAAUGUGCUCUUUGUCAAGCGUGUCAGUCUUUUUGUUUAAGUCAGACAAUCUAAUCAAGUUUCAACGCGGUAAUGUACAUGUAUUUAUUAAUCUCUUGGAUGAGAUGACCCAUGAUUUAGAGAUUUUACUUUCUCUUACAACUACAAGUCGUCUUAGUAGAAACUUUUGGCAAUUGAACAUUGCUUUGUGAUGUUUGUAUAAAAUAUAUGACAAAA
rnacentral:lncRNA from 1 species